rnacentral:rRNA from 1 species
UACGAAGGGGGCUAGCGUUGCUCGGAAUUACUGGGCGUAAAGCGCACGUAGGCGGCUUCUUAAGUCAGGGGUGAAAUCCUGGAGCUCAACUCCAGAACUGCCUUUGAUACUGGGAAGCUUGAGUCCGGAAGAGGUGAGUGGAACUCCGAGUGUAGAGGUGAAAUUCGUAGAUAUUCGGAAGAACACCAGUGGCGAAGGCGGCUCACUGGUCCGGUACUGACGCUGAGGUGCGAAAGCGUGGGGAGCAAACAGG